rnacentral:sRNA from 1 species
AUUGUUUUAAUGGUCAGUGAGGAGGCCUUAGCUACAGUCAUUGUUGUUCAGAGCCUCAGAAGAUGAAGCCCAACACCUAUACAUUUUAAAUAGUCUGUUUUUUGUUUGUUUGUUUGUUUGUUUGUUUUGAGACGGAGUUUUGCUCUUGUUGCCCAGGAUGGAGUGCAAUGGUGCGAUCUCGGCUCACCACAACCUCCCCCUGCCAGGCUACGGUGUUCAGUAUGAUUACUUAGAUCCCCGUCAGAUCACUCCUUCCCUGGAGACUCAUUUGGUUCAACGACUCUUCUUUGCUGGACAGAUCAAUGGCACCACUGGUUAUGAGGAAGCUGCAGCUCAAAGUGUUGCUCUGUUGCCAGGCUGGAGUG